GUGCUGGCUUAGCAGCAUAUAUGCUAAAAUUGGAACAACUUGAAGAUUAGCAUGGCUUUUACACAGACAUAUCAUGAAAUGUUCCAUGUUAAA
rnacentral:snRNA from 1 species